UUCACAACCUCUUUUAUCUUCUCCACGCAGACCACGUGCAGACGUAGAGGUCUGCAGCCUGUUUGUUUUUUUGGAAGAGGUUCCAUUAAAAAACCUCUUCCCCAUCACUUCCUCGUGCAGACAAGGCCCAACAUCUUCAUUCCUCUUCUACAAUCCUCCCUCUUUCAAACCACUGAACCCUAGCACCCAUCUCCUCCUCCAGCGCACCUCACCUCCUCCGCCACCCCUUCCACCUCCGCCGCCCUGCACCUCCGUCACCCCCUCCACCUUCGUCGCCCUCCUCCUCCAGCCGACACCCACCUCCGUCGCCCCUCCUCCUCCAGCCGACACCCACCUCCGUCGCCCUCCCCCUCCAGGUGUUUGAAGCUCGAUUGUUUGAAUUGGUCGUCGGUGAGAUAGUGUCGGAACUGGUCGCCGGCAGUGAGUAAUGGCGAUAUCGUUCCCGGAGGAGGUGUUGGAGCAUGUAUUCUCGUUCAUAACGUCGCAUAUAGACCAGAAAUUGUUGCUUGUUGUGAUGUUGUUACUUAUAAACUUUGAAACAAUUUGAUGUAAUGCAGACAUUGUUGCUUGUUGUUUGCUAGUUGGUAACGCAUUUAUCUAUCUUGUUGUUUUUGUCCU
rnacentral:lncRNA from 1 species